rnacentral:lncRNA from 1 species
GUACGCAGUCCCACCCCUAAGACACCUGCAGGGGAGGAAGGGAGGAGGAAGGCUAAACAAGUGGAAACCCCCAAGGCUGGGAGGGGCUUCCUGUGCAGCGUCCUGGGCAAACCGUCUGCGUUACAGAAGAGGGGGCUUCAGAAAUGGGAAGAGCGGAGGAGGAAACAAACAAAAUCACCACAAAGUUUAGCUUUACACAGAGGGGAGCACUUCCGGAGGGCAAAGGCCUGACGGACAAGGGCAAGAGGCCCGAUUUGGAAAAUGCUGGACUUGCCAGGAAAGGAAAGUGGGAGGAGAAGGCUCUCCUUGGAGACCCUGUGGGUAUGGUCUGCUGGGUUUUAGAAGCACCCCAGCUGGUCUGGUCGCCACCAUUUCCCAAGGCCUUUUUUUUUUUUUUUUUUUUUAACUUUUAAAUGAUUGUCAGUGCAGUAGCAGUAUGCCAAGUAGUAACAUGUAACAUGUUCUUCAAUUCUAUCAUCUAACGCUUUUGACUAAGAGAAACUAAAAGCAGCCCAAAUAAUUAUUUUUUUCUUUUCUGUUGUUUUCUUUUUUGCUUUUUGUUUUUUAGGGCUGCACCUGUGGCAUAUGGAGGUUCCCAGGCUAGGGGUCGAAUCAGAGUUAUAGCUGCCAGCCUACGCCACAGCAACACAGGAUCCAAGCUGCAUCUGCAACCUACACCACAGUUCACAGCAAUGCCAGAUCCUUAACCCAUUGAGCGAGGUCAGGGAUCGAGCCCACAACCUCACCGUUCCUAGUCAGAUUCAUUUCUGCUGCACAGUGAUGGGAACUCCCCAAAUAAUUAUACUAGUAUCCAUUGUUCCAGUUGCAGCCAACUGGAUAAUGAUGUCAGGAUCAUGUCCUGAAUGUGGAGUCCUGACCUAGACUCAGCAAAAGACAAGAUCCCCUUCCCUUGGGGAACACCUGCUACGCCCCAUGCCGGGUGUCCUUGGGUAUGGGGUUCUCGCCAACACCUUGGGGUCACCGGCCAAGGGAGCCCCUAACUUGCCAGAUGGCCUCAGAUCCAGGCUUAGUAGGUGUUUGCUCUCCUGCAGCCUCAACAAGCCCUUCAGGGGGCCUUGAAGAUGUCCAUGUGAAUCCUGUCACCAAGUUGGUGGUUCCUGGCCCCAACUGUGCAAUGUUGCCAGCCAGCGGCUGCACCGGGCCCAUACCUCCGGGCUACUUCAUCCACCCUGACACUGGGCGGGUGCUGCCUGAGGCUGGAAAUCUGGGCUACGAUCUGCAGGAAGCUACCCUGGUGCCUACCACUGACUCCAGUUCUGGUGACGUCCGAACAUCAGAAGCUGCCAUCCUCCCCUAUGUGCCCUUCCCAACCUGUCCUGCCACGGGCUCCCCUCCGGCCACCUGCCUGCCUGUCCUGCAGCCAAGAAGAACGUCACAGCUGGGGGCUCUCAUGACAGACCCCAUCACUGGCCUGGAGGUGCCCGUGCUGGCUGUGACUCUGCACCCACACACAAGGCAGUGGCUCACCCUCGGGGGGACAUACCGCAACCCCCUCACCCAGACCGUGACCCCUCUAGAGUUGGGGGGCCCCCUGGAGGAUCCAGUCACAGGAAGCAUCUCGCCAAUCCUGGGAGUCGGGCUGGAUGAAAAUACAGGUCUCCCAGCUGUGCUCAGUGUCACCCUUCCGCCCUCUCCUCCCUUUCUCUCAGCCCCCAGACCCCUUCGCAUUCUGGUCCAAGCUGCAAACUCCACCCCAAGGCCAUCUCCCCCCACCCCCUCGUCC